rnacentral:rRNA from 1 species
GACGAACGCUGGCGGCGUGCCUAAUACAUGCAAGUCGAGCGGACAGAAGGGAGCUUGCUCCCGGAAGUUAGCGGCGGACGGGUGAGUAACACGUGGGCAACCUACCCUGUAGAUCGGGAUAACAUCGAGAAAUCGGUGCUAAUACCGGAUAAUCAUUUGAAGUGCAUGCUUCGAAUGUAAAAGAUGGCUCCGGCUAUCACUACGGGAUGGGCCCGCGGCGCAUUAGCUAGUUGGUAAGGUAAUGGCUUACCAAGGCAACGAUGCGUAGCCGACCUGGGAAGGUGAUCGGCCACACUGGGACUGAGACACGGCCCAGACUCCUACGGGAGGCAGCAGUAGGGAAUCUUCCGCAAUGGACGAAAGUCUGACGGAGCAACGCCGCGUGAGUGAUGAAGGUUUUCGGAUCGUAAAGCUCUGUUGUUAGGGAAGAACAAGUGCCGUUUGAAUAAGGCGGCACCUUGACGGUACCUAACCAGAAAGCCACGGCUAACUACGUGCCAGCCGCCGCAGUAAAAC